rnacentral:rRNA from 1 species
UGAUGAAGAAAACAGUGAAAUGUGAUAAGUAAUGUGAAUCGCAGAAUUCAGUGAAUCAUCAAAUCUUUGAACGCACCUUGCACCUUUUGGUAUUCCAAAAGGUACACCUGUUUGAGUGCCCUUUAACGAAAGGCAUUGCUAAACUCUUUUAUUAAAGUUUCUUAAUGGAUGUUGAGUGCUGCUGUGAUUAUUAUUACAGCUCACUUUAAAUACAUAAGCUCAUCUUAUCAUUUGAUUUGGACUGACUUGAUGUGAUAUAUAUCAACUUCAUCAAGGACUGUCUUACCAAUCAUUUUCUGUUAAGUGGGCUUCUAAUCACAUUUCACUUGUGACCCAAGUGAAAAGAAAUACCCCUUAAGACCUCAAAUCAGGUGGAAUUACCCGCUGAACUUAAG